rnacentral:tRNA from 1 species
GGGGAAAUGGUGUAGUGGUAUCACAUUCCUUUCGCAUAGGAAAGGUCGCGAGUUCAAUCCCCGCUUUCUCCA